rnacentral:rRNA from 1 species
AGAGUUUGAUCCUGGCUCAGAAUGAACGCUGGCGGCGUGCCUAACACAUGCAAGUCGGAUGUGCCGCAAGGUGCAUGGCAGACGGGUGAGUAACGCGUAGGGAAUCUACCUUUUUGUGGGGAAUAACGCUCCGAAAGGAGUGGUAAUACCGCAUGAGACCGUGGCCUGGGAUGGUUACGGUGAAACCUGGGGACCGCAAGGCCUGGGGCAAAGAGAGGAUCCUGCGUCUGAUUAGCUAGUUGGCGGGGUAAUGGCCCACCAAGGCGACGAUCUGUAGCGGGUCUGAGAGGAUGAUCCGCCACACUGGAACUGAGACACGGUCCAGACUCCUACGGGAGGCAGCAGUGGGGAAUUUUGGACAAUGGGGGCAACCCUGAUCCAGCCAUGCCGCGUGAGUGAAGAAGGCUUUCGGGUUGUAAAGCUCUUUCAGCCGGGAAGAAAACGCAUGGGUUAAUACCCUGUGUGGAUGACGGUACCGGAAUAAGAAGCACCGGCUAACUACGUGCCAGCAGCCGCGGUAAUACGUAGGGUGCGAGCGUUAAUCGGAAUUACUGGGCGUAAAGCGUGCGCAGGCGGUUUGGUAAGACAGGCGUGAAAUCCCCGGGCUUAACCUGGGAACUGCGUUUGUGACUGCCAGGCUAGAGUACGGCAGAGGGGGGUGGAAUUCCACGUGUAGCAGUGAAAUGCGUAGAGAUGUGGAGGAACACCAAUGGCGAAGGCAGCCCCCUGGGUCGAUACUGACGCUCAUGCACGAAAGCGUGGGUAGCAAACAGGAUUAGAUACCCUGGUAGUCC